rnacentral:tRNA from 1 species
CCUGUAGCUCAACGGUAGAGCAUUCGACUGUUAAUCGAAGGGUUGCUGGUUCGAAUCCAGCCGGG